rnacentral:misc_RNA from 1 species
GAUGAAGAACGUAGCGAAAUGCGAUACUUGGUGUGAAUUACAGAAUCCCGUGAACCAUCGAGUCUUUGAACGCAAGUUGCGCCCGAAGCCAUUAGGCCGAGGGCACGCCUGCCUGGGCGUCACACGUCGUUGCCCCCCCAUCUACUCCUUCGGGAUUGCGGGGGGCGGAUGAUGGCCUCCCGUGCGCCUCGUCGCGCGGUUGGCAUAAAUGCCAAGUCCUCGGCGACGCACGCCACGACAAUCGGUGGUUGCGAAACCUCGGUUGCCCGUCGUGUGCGGUCGUCGCGCAUCGAGGGCUCGAAAAAAUUGCCGGGCUCCGGCUCGGCUUUCAACGCGACCCCAGGUCAGGCGGGGUUACCCGCUGAAUUUAAGCAUAUCAAUAAGCGGAGGA